rfam:Ciona savignyi cont_52676, whole genome shotgun sequence.
CGCAUAUUUUGCGGUGGCGGAGCUCGACCGCCCGUUCAAGAAAUGAUUUCGUUCAUAGACGAACAUCGUGGAGACCACGGGGUCGAGCCGAUCUGCAAGGUGUUGCAGAUUGCCCCU